rnacentral:rRNA from 1 species
GAUGAACGCUGGCGGCGUGCCUAAUACAUGCAAGUCGAGCGAAUGGAUUAAGAGCUUGCUCUUAUGAAGUUAGCGGCGGACGGGUGAGUAACACGUGGGUAACCUGCCCAUAAGACUGGGAUAACUCAGGGAAACCGGGGCUAAUACCGGAUAACAUUUUGAACCGCAUGGUUCGAAAUUGAAAGGAGGCUUCGGAUGUAACUUAUGGAUGGACCCGAGUCGCAUUAGCUAGUUGGUGAGGUAACGGCCCACCAAGGCAACGAUGAGUAGCCGACCUGAGAGGGUGAUCGGCCACACUGGGACUGAGACACGGCCCAGACUCCUACGGGAGGCAGCAGUAGGGAAUCUUCCGCAAUGGACGAAAGUCUGACGGAGCAACGCCGCGUGAGUGAUGAAGGCUUUCGGGUCGUAAAACUCUGUUGUUAGGGAAGAACAAGUGCUAGUUGAAUAAGCUGGCACCUUGACGGUACCUAACCAGAAAGCCACGGCUAACUACGUGCCAGCCGCCGCUGUAA